GACUGGGACAGCAGCAGCGAAAACCACACACGUUAGCCGUUUAUCCUGGGUUCGUGUUGCAUGAAGUAAACGCUGUGUGGCCAGAGUGCAGGGAGCAAUGAUUUCCCAGCACUGAGUGUUCUGCAGAGAAAAACGGGUUUCUACCUACUGAGGUUAAAGGAUUAAUGAAUACUUGGCACAUGAAAAAUGAAUUGUGAUAGCAGGAAGAUUGCAUGUAGACAGUGUGAUAAGGUGCAUAACAGAGAAGCAUCAUGUUAUACAUGUUGCCAUGCCCUGAGAAGCAGAUGGAGCUCAUUUCCAUUGAAUUUCAGAUAAAAUAUUUUAAAACAUCAAUA